rnacentral:rRNA from 1 species
CUUUCAGCGACUGAUAUCU